rnacentral:tRNA from 2 species
GAGGUUGUAGCUUAAUGGAAGAGCAGGAGUUCUCCAAACUCAAGACUGGAGGUUCGAUUCCUCCCAAUCUCC